rnacentral:lncRNA from 15 species
CAUUGAUGGUGCAGACUCUCUUCCCCUAUCGCAAGAAGAGAAAUGGAAAAAGCGAAGUACUCGAAAGAGAAAAUCGAAGUAUUUCAACUCUCCUCCUCCAACAAAAAAAGCAUCUUGUGGCAAAAUCUGCAACAUCUGCCAGCCAAAAACAUCCAAAGACAAAGAGUCACAUCAAAGGUGCACCACCCUUACAACCACAAACAAGACAGGGAUGCUGUCCAUAUUGGGGAGGAGAAGGGUUAAUUGAGAAGCAAACAGUGUCAAUGACAAAUACAUGUACAGUGGACAACCUACUGUACAUGCUUCACAUGGCUAUCAAGAGGAGACCAGGGAUUAGCACUGAGCUUAAUGCAAGCUCAAAUAAUUGGAUUUCCACCUUACUGCAAGUCCACAAACUUUUUGAAAAGAAAGAGUGGUCCCAGGGAAAAUUAUUGUGGCUAAACGCCAUUGGCCGAUUUAAAGGGACUUCAUGGGAUGCUUAUGGGACAGAGGAAGACAUGGUUGCAUGUCGUCUCGAGUAUCUCAUGACAACAGAAAUCAUGCAAAAGUGCAAGAAUGCAGCUUGUCCUGUUGUGAGAAGACGAGUCAACAGUAUUGACAUCUUGUGUGAAGACUUCAGUACUUUACAGAAAGAUAUUGACAGUUGGAUGAAUGAAUCCCUUGCAGCUCCAUGCAAAAGAGGUCCUGCCCAAUGCACUGACAGUGAGCAGACACUGCAGCGUGUCUUCGUGAAUGGACAGCCAUGUGUGUUACUGGUCUUAGUGAUACACCAAGCCAAUCUCAGUGAAAAGCUGCAUCCUACAGCCUUGCCACACCUGGUGACAAUUCUUGGUGGAAAGUACGAGCCAGCUGCAGUGACAUACCACCUGGGCACAAAUAAUCACUUUGUGGCAUUCCACAAACUGGGCGCUGACAAAGGCUGGCAUUUUUAUGAUGGCAUUGAGGAAAUGCUCAACCCUGGCAAGGGUGAUGUUGUCAUCACUGACACAUUAAGGAAAAAGAUACUUAAGGCUAAGUGUAAAGUUAGCCACAUUGUCAUGGUCAGGGUAAGUAUGGACAUUAAUUAUGGCAUAACACUGUCUUGACUUCUAAAACUAGUUUUCCUUUGUAUUUCAACAGAUGACAACAAUAUUCAUGUCUUUCGGUUCACAAACAAGAAAUUGAAAUUAAUCACAGUAAUAACUAAACGUGUUGAUCAGACUUACUUAUCUUGUCUUUCACAUUCAGGUGACAAUCAUUUAUGGAGAAAAUUGGUGAUAGUCCUCUCACAUAAUCUCAUCAUAAAAAAUUAUUUGUUUUUCUCUUGCUUUAGGACAAAGCAGCAGAAGCUGUUGAAGCCAGGCGGCAGGACAAUGAACAGCUUGUUACAUUCAUUGUGGACCACAAUGGAGCUGACUGAAAGCUGAGGGUAAAUCUAACAUGUCAUUACUUUCCUAUAUGGAGCAAUUUUACUAAAAACAACUAUGAAAUUACAGAGCAACACCUAACCGGAUCCAUUCAUAAUGUAUCAGCCUGUGAUAAAAAUGUGACAUAUUAAACACCCAUUAACCUAUUACUAACAUCAUGGCGAAUGUGCAAUUAUUUCAGUGAGGAAACAGCUGUAACUGCUUGUGGCUUGUUCGCUUCUGCCAAGAACACCAUUCUCCUCACACAAAACACUUUAUACCAGCACAUUCAAAUACCAUAGUAGUUAGGUCAGUUAGUUUUACAGUAAAGUUUCAUUGCAGAGAUUUAAAGGCACAUAUGUCCACUGUGGAAAGAAAGCCACUAUUUG